CAGCCUCCUGCCCCUCUGCGGACGCCGCGGGUUCCAACCCUGCAGAAGGAGCGGGGCGGAGCGGACUCCGCUGGUUCCCACACGCACAGCUUCCCCCUUCCCUGUUUUAAUCUUCUUAGUGCUUAAAGUAGCAAGAGUGGUUUCUUUUUCCUGCAGAUGGACCCUCCUUUAUACAGGUAGGGAGAGAAGAGGACGCCCAGGAUAGGGUCCAGAGGAACGCCAGCACUUACUACGGGCAGGGAGGAGGAUCCAGAAGAGAGAUCGGAGAAGGAGCAUCAAAGAGGAGGGGGAAACCCAGGGAAGUUUCAAGCACACCAUGGUUAACAACGUCAUUCUCGACUGCUGCCAGGAAGCAGGAUCCAUUCAACAGAAGUACUCAGCCAAGCACAAGAUGCACAUACAAAGAGAUCCACUGCAGCGCCGUUUGUAGUUGCAAAGAUGUGGGCACUUGUGACUAGACACUGGGACACUGUGCCCCGCCACUGCUGCUGCCGCCCCUGCCCCUCAAACACCAUCUCCCUGGCAGGAUUCAAUCUGCGUGCACACGAGAAGGGGGACGAUGCUGGGAGCCGCUGCACCGUGUACACAAUGACUCCCACCCAGCCCCAUGGAGCUGACAGACCAUCGGUCACCUGCACUUGUCUGAGAAACUGCUUAUGAGAUUGUAGUCAUGGUUGUCACACAUGUGGCUCUGACUAAGACAGUGGCAGUUGAGCUGAAGACAGGAGGUGGGCUUGGCAUGGUCAGGGAGGACAGUGGCUGAAGGUGGCUCUUGGAUGUCUCUGAGUUGGGGACUGGGAGAUGAGAUCAGUUGGGGACAGUUAAGUCUGGGUUGUUUGUGGGGCCCCCAACUGGCCAUGUCCGGGCCAGCUGAGGGGAGAGGUUUGUGCUGGAGCCUUCUGUGCCCCCAAAACCCUGGGAGAGGUUGGAAGUUCUAGUGCCACGAUCUGAUUUGUAUUUGAAAAGGCGGAUCUGGCUGUGGGAGCAGAGCGGAUGAUAGGGAUGGGAGUGCCAGCAGAAGCCAGGAGGAGGCUGUUGCCAUCAUCUGGGAGAAAGAUGAUGGGGGCCUGGCCAGGGUAAUGGAGGGGCAGAGAGGGAAGGCAAAAGAGACUGCAGAGGUCACUGCCUCAGUGUUGGUGCAGGACCGAGGUUCGACCAGGUGGCAUGAUGGUGGGGCAAGGGCCCCAGGAGCAUCUGAAGUGAGAGGUCGAAGCCAGGGCAGCCAGCGGGGGGUGGGGAAACCAGAGCUCCUCAUGCUCAAGCCCUCCCCUGGCCUUGUUCUUGCUGUCACUCGCUGCCCUGGGGGUCAGUUGCAUCCCCUCGGUCUGUCAUUCCGUCACUCACCAAAGUCCUAGAAAUCUUUCUCGGCCCAGCACCUGGGGGGGAAACAAAAUGAGGACCCCCAAUUGGGGCAUCACAGUAAAGUCAAAGUCCUCCAGGCCCAGGACAGACCCGGCAAGGGACACGUUUUGAGAGGAAAGUUCUAUAAUGAUGCCACAGGAGUGAAAGCUGUCGAGGGAAGGGACAGAGGCCCCAGGGAUCAGAACAGUGACACAGGGUGACAAGAGGAGCCAAUGGGACUUCUGUGGUGGUCCAGUAGCUAAGGCUCUGCGCUCCCAAUGCAGGGGGCCCAGGUUCGACCCCGGUCAGGGAACUCGAUCCCACAGGCCACUACUAAAGAUCCCGCAUGCUGCAACUAAAGAUCCCACAUGCUGCAACUAAGACCCGAUGCAGCCAAAUAAAUAAAUAAAUAUUAAAAAAAAAACAAACGAGGAGCCAAUGGCCAUGGGCAGACUUAGGAACACAAAGGGCACCAUUUAAAUAAAGUUUCAAGGCAAAGACUUUCUCAAAAGUGUGACCUUGCUGGCCAGCAGUCUCUUGCUCACCAUCCUUAAGGGAGAAAGUCCCGUGGCUACUUUUCUUCUUCCCUCAGUUCCCAGAGGUCCCUGGAGUGGUGACCUCGAGGCUUCCUGAAGCGGUUGCUAUGGGCCAGGCACUGAGUCAGACUCGGACCCUGCCCCUCAAGUUCACAAUCUGAUCCGGAGGAGAUGCAGAAUAGUUGACCACUUCAGUAUGUCCCCCUAAACAGUCUAGUGCUCAGUCUGCUCGUCCUUGAGCUUGACGAAAUGGCAUCAUCCUGCGCGGGGGACGCGGGUAGCAUCGUGCCAUCCUUGCUAGUCUGGUGGUCCACCUGGAACCUCAGAAUGGGACUUUAUUUGGAAAAAGGAUCUUUGUGAGUAUAAUUAGUUAAGAUGAGGUCAUAGUGGAGUAGCGAGCCCUAAUCCAGCGACUGGUGUCCUUAGAAGAAGAGGCCAUACAAAGCUGGAAGCAGAGAUUGGAGUGAACUUGUGUCUUCAAGCCAAGGAACACCAAGGAUUGCUGGCCACCACUGGAAGCUAGGAGAGGGGCAGAUCCCUCCUCAGAGCCCCCACAAGGAGCCAACCCUGCCGUUACCUUGACCUUGGACUUCUGACCUCCAGCACUGUGAGAGAAUAAAUCUUUUGUUGUUUUAACCCUACCAGUUUAGGGUGCUUUGUUACUGCAGUUACAGCAAACUCAUACAGUACACGUAUUUUCAGCUCUGCCAUUGUUUCCUCUUCUAUGAAGUGACUGCUCACAUCAAUCUUCCCGUUUUUCUAUCCGAUUGUUUAUCCUUUUACUGAUUUAUAGGAGUUCUUUAUUUAUUCUGGGUGUGAGCCCUGCGUUAGUUACGUGUAUUACAAAUCUUUGGGUUUUGAAGCAAGUCCAUGAACCUCGCUCUGCGUCCUUUACAGAAUGAGAUUAAUCCCUACUUUUGCAAGGUUGUACGGGGAUCAUAGACAAUGACAGAAGCCUUAGGCGACUGGUACAGACUGAGAGC